ensembl:lncRNA
CCACAAUGCUGCUGUGCCAGCUGCUGCUUCUGGGAGAAAACCUAGUUCCUAGUUCUCUCCAGUGUGAGCUGGUUUGGCUAUUUGAAAGCUACUCUUUUCAACUAACCCUUCUUUGUCAGUUCAGAAACCAGUCCUGCUUUCCAGCAGCUGGGCUGGGCAGGGUUUUUCCAGGCUUGCUGACUGCAGCAGCUGUUUCCUGCCCCCAGUAAGAGCCCGGGGGACACACUCACCCACUCAGAGCCACCCUUGGCGGGAGACUUGGGGGACAACUCCCCGCAGGGCCGAGUUGAACAGCUCCAAUGAAAUAAUGCCAGAUGUGAAUGCUUUUUAAUCGAUGGGCUCUGAUCAUCACGAUACCAAAAUUCUGCACAUCUUUUGCAAAGCAAGGCUUGGCUCUCUGAAGCUUUCAUUUCUUCAUUUUCCCAGGCAGUGGUUCUUCAUUUGUGGUCCCCGGAGCAGCGGCAGCAGCACCUGGGAACUUGUUAGAAAUGCCAAAUCUCAAGCUGCGCCCAGCUCUACUGAAUCAGAAUCUUUGGGAUGGAACUCAGCGAUGGGGUUUAACAAACCCUCUACGUGAUUCUGGUGUAGCUGAAGGUUCAGGAGCACCGCCUAGAGUUUCUGUUCAAAACAUCUCCCAGGGCUGGGCGAGGCUUCUCUAGGUCACCUCGGUCACUUCCUUUGCUCUGCACAGAACCACCUUGUCAGAAAGACGGUUUGUUAUUGUUGUUGUUAUGUAAGUUUCCUGAGAUGCCCUGUGGCUCCCUAGGGCUUGGUACUCCCCAGAUCUCUAGAGAUAGCCCAUCUGCCUCCCUAGACUGAUGUCACAAAUUCUGCAUGAAAACGGCUCCAGCUGGGCUCUGAGACCUACCCAGAGGACUUGCCCUGCCCUGAGAUGUCCUCCAGCACUUGCAAAAAUGACAGUGACCACCUCUGAGAGCUGUUUUAAGAGAAAGAAUGUUAACCACUCCACUUCCUAGUUCCUCCACACCUGUCACUUGGGAACCAGACGAGAAGUUCUAAGAAGCCCUCAGAUCCUGCAGCCUGACUCUGGCUUGGAAAACCUCUGUCCAGAUCAGAGUGCCAAGGGGAGUGACCCAUCUUGGAUCCUGGACCUCAUCCACUUAGUUGGGAAAUCUUUCUGAUAAAUUCAGAGACCACACAAAGUCCUGAGGGCCUUCCUGUCGAUUUGAAUCCGCUCAAACUCCCAGGAGAUGAAAACAACUUCACUAGAUUGAGGGGACGUAGGAAUCACCUGGGGAUCUUGUUAAAAUGAGGAUUCUGAUUCAGAAGGUCUGGGGAGGGGCCUGAGAUUCUCCCAGGUGAGGCCAGUGCUGCUGGUCCAAGGACCACAUUUGCAGCAUCAAGGGGUUAUAGAACCACCUUCUGUCACUGCUCAUGGAUUUCCUACUCUGCUUUCUGGGGAUCUUGCCUGUUUUCACACCUUAUCCUUCUUUUCCUCUCUCCAUCCAUCCUUUUCUUGGCCAACUCAUUAUUCUGACCAGGCACCCCUACCAACUCCCAACCCUCCUCCAUUCAAGGAGAAAGAAACUCCUGCCCUUUUUUCCUCAGACUUUCAUCCCCUCCCCUCUUCCCUCAGCAGUGCCAGAAAAAUGAAAGUCAUCAUUUAUUGACAGUUGUGUGCCAAGCACUGUCCCAAAUGUGUUACCCAUAAUAUUUAAUUCUCGCAACAAUCCUACAAAGUAUAUAUUAUUAUUGUCAUUUUAGAAAUGAGAAAAUUGAAACUUAGGUAGUUAAAGAAACUCUGUCCUCAACUAGGGAGUAAUGAGUUGAGAUUAGAAUUUGAAUCUGUCUAACGUCAAAGUCUACAGGCUUUACACUACCUUAUGCUCAUGCAAGGUGAAAUAGUCUAGAAGUCAGCUGGUGGGAAUGCAUUGAGAAAAAAGGAUCACUCCAAGGAUCACUCCACUUAUUCAGCCUGUACAGUCCUCUGAACCCCUCUUAAGCAGAUAUUCUAUGGGACAGCCCGACAUAUGGAUAAUAAGAGCUAUUUUAGGAAUGCCCAGGUUAGCUGGAAUGGGACAGGAUUCCAAAUAGCAGAGUAGUAAUAUUAAAACCCAAACUUGCCAAUAUGCCCAAAUUUUCAAUGUAGCUCUUUAAUUAGACCCAUAACUGUACCAAUAGAGCCUAUUACCAAAAAAGAGAUUCCUAUGAUUAGCUAAUCACCCAACCACAUGGAGUCUAAAGGAUGGUGCCAAGUCUGCUAUCAGUCCGCAUAGGGUCCUCUUUGGAUGGGUAGCCAAUUCCCUUCUCUCUCUAGUCUCUCUUCCUUGACUCCACCUCUAACAUCCCCUUGGUCUCUGCCUGUUCUCAAGAUCUGACCUAAGUGUCCUGGCUUCCAACCUGGGAGCCUAUACCUGAUCUUAAAACCUUUGUGUCUUUCAGCUUCCUCAAACUACAGCAUCUACAAGACAAACGAAUCUUGCUUAUGUUGGCUAUCUCCCUCUCCUGACUUUUAUUGGGUGUACAAAAAAAAAAUCUCCCUUUAAUUCCUCCCAAAGAUCCUACAAGGUAUGAGGAGAGGAGAAAAGGCAAGGGGUAGGAAUGAGGAAAAUUCCAUCUUGAUGCAAAAAUUUAAAAGGUCUAUAUUCAUUCAAUGGAGAAGAGUCAGAAUUUUAAAAUAUAACAUAGACAAGGAAAUUAAGAGCAGUGUGCUGUGGGGAAAGGAGCCCUGGCCCAAGAGUCGUGAGAUUUGGGUUCUCAAUCCAUCUUUUCCACUAACUGGCUGUGCAACCUUGGAUAAACUGUAUCAUUUUUCUUGACAUCAGUUUCUCCAUCUUUAAAGUGAGAGGGUUGUAUUGAAUGAUUACUAAGAUUCCUUUGAUCUCUGCUUUUCAGCGUCUUCCCUAGCACCUAAAAUAAAAUGAACCUGGCAGUUUUUGUGAAAUAAUGUUGCAUCUAACCAGAAAUUUAGACACAAACUUGCUUGAGUCAAUGCAUGAAAACAAGAAGAUAAAGAAACAGUGAUUAAUAAUGAUAAAUGAAUAAUAAUGAUAAAAAUAAAAGACCAAAAACUUAAAAAAAGACAAAAAUGGCUGAUUCUAUAGUUUUUCUUUUUUUUUUUUUUUUUUUUUUUUUUUUUUUUUUUUUUUUUUUUUUUAAAGAUUUUAUUUUUUCCUUUUUCUCCCCAAAGCCCCCCGGUACAUAGUU